rnacentral:lncRNA from 1 species
CGCCGCCUUCUUCACCUCCACUUUUCCUUGGACUACAUUGUUCCACCACCAGUCACCCUGAUAUCUGCCUGAAUAGCCCUUUGCUAUCCCGAGCACAUUCCGUGCCACCUCCCUAACCAAGUUCGCCGUCUCUGGCCACAUAGUAUCCGCUUUCCUAGAACUCCUCCAAGCUCCGCCCUCAGCUAACCUCCUCUCCAACUCCUGUGCUUUCUCCUUAUUCAAAACA